GAUGAACGCUGGCGGCGUGCCUAAUACAUGCAAGUCGAGCGAACAGACGAGGAGCUUGCUCCUCUGACGUUAGCGGCGGACGGGUGAGUAACACGUAGAUAACCUACAUAUAAGACUGGGAUAACUUCGGGAAACCGGAGCUAAUACCGGAUAAUAUAUUGAACCGCAUGGUUCAAUAAUGAAAGACGGUUUUGCUGUCACUUAUAGAUGGAUCCGCGCCGCAUUAGCGAGUUGGUAAGGUAACGGCUUACCAAGGAAACGAUGGGUAGCCGACGUGAGAGGGGGGUCGGCCACACGGGAGCGGGGACGCGGACCCGGCUCCUGCGGGAGGCAGCAGUAGGGAAUCGUCCGCAGUGGGCGAAAGCCUGACGGAGCGACGGCGAGUGAGUGAUGAAGGUCUUGGGUGAGUAAAACUCUGUUAUGAGGGGAGAACAAAUGUGUAAGUAGCUAUGGACGUCUUGACGGUACCUGAUCAGAAAGCCACGGCUAACUACGUG
rnacentral:rRNA from 1 species